AUUGAACGCUGGCGGCAUGCCUUACACAUGCAAGUCGAACGGCAGCACGGGGGCAACCCUGGUGGCGAGUGGCGAACGGGUGAGUAAUGCAUCGGAACGUGCCCAGUAGUGGGGGAUAACCAGUCGAAAGACUGGCUAAUACCGCAUACGACCUACGGGUGAAAGCGGGGGACCGUAAGGCCUCGCGCUAUUGGAGCGGCCGCUGUCUGAUUAGCUAUUUGGCGGGGUAAGAGCCAACCAAGGCGACGAUCAGUAGCUGGUCUGAGAGGACGACCAGCCACACUGGGACUGAGACACGGCCCAGACUCGUACGGGAGGCCGCAGUGGGGAAUUUUGGACAAUGGGCGCAAGCCUGAUCCAGCCAUGCCGCGUGCGGGAAGAAGGCCUUCGGGUUGUAAACCGCUUUUGGCAGGAACGAAACGGCGACUCCUAAUACGGGUCGCUAAUGACGGUACCUGCAGAAUAAGCACCGGCUAACUACGUGCCAGCCGCCGCGGUAAAAC
rnacentral:rRNA from 1 species